rnacentral:rRNA from 1 species
GACGUAGGGUGCGAGCGUUGUCCGGAUUUACUGGGCGUAAAGCGCGUGUAGGCGGCUUCUUAAGUCGGGUGUGAAAGCCCGGGGCUCAACCCCGGGAUGCCGCCCGAGACUGGGAGGCUUGAGGUCGGAAGAGGGGAGUGGAAUUCCAGGUGUAGCGGUGAAAUGCGUAGAGAUCUGGAGGAACACCCGUGGCGAAGGCGGCUCCCUGGUCCGGUUCUGACGCUGAGACGCGAAAGCGCGGGGAGCGAACGGG